ACCAAGAGAGACUGAUAAGUAAAGGCUUGGAAUAUAAACAUGGAAAAGACUACACAGUUCUACAGAAAUUCCUGAAAUAAGAAAGUGGUCAAGCACUGGAGCAAGUUUCACAGCAAGUCUGUGGGAUGUCAGUCUUUGGAGAUACUCAAAACCUUGACUGAGCGUGUUCCUGAACAACCUUGCUGUAGCUGACCCUGUUUGCGCAGGACAAUGGAGUAGGCCAUUUUCCAGCCCCAACC
rnacentral:lncRNA from 1 species